GUUUAUAUUACUUUCACUUCACUUCCAAUAAAAGCAAAAACUAAGAUCCUGAAUAUUGACUGACUGCCUAAUGGGCUGAAUAGACCAUAAAAAAUAAGCAGAUCCUCUCCUCCCCAAUUAGGAAAUGAAACAAUAUCCCAUAUAACAGUAAUAGUAUCAGCAAUAAAUACAGUCCAGAGCAAAAUUCUUGAUUAAUUUGCAUAAGUUUACACAGCUGCGGAGCCAGAUUGUGACGACAGCAACAUUAGUGUGAAUUUGGAGAACUCCACAAAAGCUGACAGAAUUCUUGUAGUUUAAUAUAUGUAACUUAGUGGUUAAUUCUUUUUUAUGUUCUAUAAAGCAGCAGUACAGAAUAUAAUUACAACAGCGACACAAAGAGAAAUUUAUCCCGUAGGCCCGUCUUCCAGAUCAGCAGCCCUUGGGUAAAAGCCACCCUUCAAAAAUUUAUGUUAUUCCCCAAGUGCCACCCUAUUCUUCCAUGCCCAGCUACUGCAGCCACUUGGACCCUGUCUGCUCAUCGUUUUCAUCAGCUGGUGCAACCCCUCAUGCCUCCCUCCCUCCCUCCUAUGCGUCACCUCCAGUGAAGUUUAGCAUGUAAAAAACAGUGGUACAGAUAAGCGUUUCCGCUUCUAAGAUUUCAUUCUUUCACUUGGUUCAACUGAGCAAUAAUUCGUAGCCUUAUGGUUUCAGCUUCUAUUUCUUUCCAUUAACUUGAUCUCAUUUCAACUCCCAUUUGAAGUUUCUGCAUUUUCUCCUCCAGUUUCUCCUUUUGCUAUUAUUUGUUUACACUGAAUAAUUACAAACUCAUUUGGGCAAUGUCCUGGCACAGCCUGUUGAGGUUAUAUACUAUAAAAAAUAUAUCCAGUAGCUGUAUAGUAACAUAUUUGUAAAAAGCAAGUCCAAUAACUUUACAAGUAAUGAACGUAUGUUGUCUUUCCUUUCUUUGUACAUGCAGCAGCUGGAAAAUUCCCAAAAGAUGCUAAAAUAUAAAAAACCCUCAUGGAACAAUGCUGAUGAAUGUGCCAACAGCAGGAAAACUGCUUGCAAGCCCAAACGCUUGGCUGACUGGUGUUUGGAGAGCAGCACAAGACCCCUCUCACCACUACCUCCCCCCAUCUUACAGUAAAAAAACAAAAUAAAACAAAAAAGAAACUUUCA
rnacentral:lncRNA from 1 species